UGGCUGAGCCUAAUGAGGGGAGGUAAUAUGCUGGAUUUUGUCCAGGGCUGAGGAUUUGAGACUUAAUACACUCAAGAUUUUUUUCUCCUUCAUUAGAUCAAGAUGUUUUUGUUCUUUCUCUCCCCUCCCCCAAAUUUAAAAAAAAAAAAGAGAGAAAGAAAAAGAAAAAGAAACUUCCUUUAGAUUUGGUAACCUGGGAGUUAUUUUUAAUAGUUUCUUUCCUUAUAUAACUUCUGAAAGCAUUGUCUAGAUAUUUUUUUUAAGAGUCUGGAAAGUUCAUGAUGAAUUUCUUUUCACAGAUCUUAUCUCUUAGCGAACUAUUUCUAAGUUGAAGAGAGCUCAAAAUUAUAAUUUUUAUAUUUAAAAAAUAGGGCAUGAACCAUGUGGAUGAACUAUGGAAACUUCACCAGUUCUUUUUUUUUUUUUAAAUGAGAGUCUGUCUUUGAGGACUUGCAAAAAUAGCUCUAGCUAUAACUACAUUAAUUAAUCUCAGUGAGAAUAUCUUAAGGGAAAUUCAUUAGAUUCUUUAGAAUGAAACUUUCAGAAUUAAGUACAAUUCCUUACAAGAUAACUGCAGAGAUCAGCAUCAGAAGCCCAGAGAAAAGAAAAUACUGAAACAUUGUAACAGGCAUAAAAGUCAGAUGUAGUCCUGGCUUCAUAAUCAAUAAGACAUUAGUGACAUGUCUGAAGAAGACAUUCCCUAAUAUUAUUGCAAAUUAAGUAAUAAAAGACUCCAAGAGAAUGAAAGAAGAGGUGGCUGGAGCCACUGAAUUACAAUUGACAACCUAAAGGCAGUUGAAGAACCAAUUGCUGGGGUGAUUGCAAAGCUAUUCAUAUUGUGCAGCAGACAGAGCACACCAGAAAGCUGGAACAAUGCCUUCCGUUCAGCAAUAUUGCUUCAAAAGAAUGGAAAGAAGGGGACGGGAAGAGCCACUGACCCCGAGACCAAUUUCCAGGCAGCUGCACAAACUAUAUACUGUAAUUAAAGGUUUUGACGAGUAAUCACGGCAAAGCCAGACCACAGAAAGUCUGGGGAACCAGCAAGGUUUCUAAUGAGGCCGGCAUCUUUCACUGCAGCAUGGAAGAAGCAGGUAAGAACACAGUCCUUUUCCGGUCAUAACUGAAAACACUCUGCUGUGUCCUC
rnacentral:lncRNA from 1 species